rnacentral:miRNA from 1 species
CAGUGCAAUUAAAAGGGGGAA